UUUUCACAGCUCAGAUUGGCAUGUUGGUGAACUUAUUAGCUUAGAUUUCACGUUAGUCAUGCCUACAUGAGCUGCAUACAACUGCUCUAAUCGGUAGGAUGUGGACGGACAUUGCAUUCAUUCCCAUUCAGCCGUUGGACUGAACCUGUACUGUCUGGAACACAGUAUGGAUGGUCAAUAUGAAGCGAGCUUCAUUGAAUUCCUCCAAGAGCUCUGUACUCCGUUCUGAUCAUUUUGAAGAUGGUUGCUUUGACAGGACUGGGCAAGUGACUCGUCUUAGACAGGAUGCUGUCCCAACCAUGUUUGAUUUCCUGCCUCGUCUUCAGAAGAAUUCACCAAACCAAGGAAUUCCCCGAAAGAAAGAUGUUUUGAUUCAGCAAACAACCUCCAAAAUACUGCAAAGACACCUGUACCAAAGUCUUCAGCACCUUUAUUUCUCAAGGACCACUCCUACUCAAUAUCAGAAAGUCCAAGAGGGGUAAAGUGGAAGUUAACAGCAAUAAUGGACUGUAUUAAGAACUUGGAGAAGAGGCUGUAAACCACACACGAGAAGUCCCGCCAUGUACAUUACUUGCUCUUAAGUUUGGACAAACAUAACUUGCAAAACUUUACAACAAAUAAUUACCCCCAUGUGCAUUCUGAUUAUUUAAAAUAGCUCAAUGAAAUAGUUUAUCAGUGGGCAUGUAACAAAAGUGAAUUCAUUAAAUUUGAACGUGUUGCAAAAAUGAUGUCUUACAGUAUAUUCAUUCUGACUUAGAAUGUCAGAAGAGAAAAAAGUUUGUGAAAAGUAGGAAUGACGGCAAGAUGACAGAAGAAUAGAACAGGAUAGAGCAAGGGGGACAGAUAAAGGACAAGUCCACCCCAAAAAUUGUUGAUAUGAAUAAAAAGAGAAAAAUCCAACAAGCAUAACACUGAAAAUUUGAUAAAAAAUCGGAUGUAAAAUAAGAAA